CACAUGGCAAUCACCUCUGGCUCAUUGUUAUCCCCGUUUUAUUGGAGUUCUCCUAUAACCCUGCUGCUUUCUCUGUGUGUGGCAGGCUUCUCCGAGGAAGACGAGGCACAGGGACAAAAGGAAGAAACCGAAAGGUUUUGGACGCUGUGAGAAAGGGUUGGAGGAGACUUGUGCACCCCUAGAGACAUGCUGCCUCAUGCACCUGGAGCAGCUCCCCUGGGCUCACCGCCUCAGGAUCAUUGAGAGGAAUAUUCAGUACCUGGCCAGACACCAGGAUGAAGUUCUGAUACCGCCGAGUGUGACGACAUCUGCGGUGAGCCAGUUCUCCUAUUUGUCUAUGGAAUGCAACCCCUCUUCCCUCUGGAGUCACAGCUCCUUUUCCCUGGGAGAAGCCUCCGUGACUCGGUCAGAGCCCCUCUGCCGCACAAGGGAGAUCGUGCCUGUCGCGGGCUGGGAAGGAUCCACUCAUCCCAUCCAAGCCCAACCUCUCCCCAGCCCUCCUGUCCACAGCAGACGAGACCGGCGAGAGCAGAUCACGGGUCUGGACCAGACGUCAGCCCAUGGCUCAGACUUCAACAUCCGACAGAAGCUUUUGGAGAGCCAACUGGGGGCACCUACCCUAUGCACUGAGUCGCUGGCCAAGGUGAUCCCUAAGGCCCCUGCUCUGUGCC